rnacentral:rRNA from 1 species
UACGUAGGUCCCGAGCGUUAUCCGGAUUUAUUGGGCGUAAAGCGAGCGCAGGUGGUUUAUUAAGUCUGGUCUAAAAGGCAGUGGCUCAACCAUUGUAUGCAUUGGAAACUGGUAGACUUGAGUGCAGGAGAGGAGAGUGGAAUUCCAUGUGUAGCGGUGAAAUGCGUAGAUAUAUGGAGGAACACCGGUGGUGAAAGCGGCUCUCUGGCCUGUAACUGACACUGAGGCUCGAAAGCGUGGGGAGCAAACAGG